UACGUAGGGACCAAGCGUUGUUCGGAAUUACUGGGCGUAAAGGGCGCGUAGGCGGUCCGUUAAGUUAGAUGUGAAAACUCUGGGCUCAACCCAGAGCCUGCAUCUAAUACUGACGGGCUAGAGUUCUGGAGGGGGUAGCGGAAUUCCUGGUGUAGCGGUGAAAUGCGUAGAUAUCAGGAAGAACACCCGUGGCGAAAGCGGCUCUCUGGAACGGUACUGACGCUGAGACGCGAAAGCGUGGGGAGCGAACAGG
rnacentral:rRNA from 1 species